GACGAACGCUGGCGGCGUGCCUAAUACCUGCAAGUAGACCUGAGUUGCGAACGGGUGAGUAACGCGUAGGAACCUGCCUCAUAGCGGGGGAUAACUAUUGGAAACGAUAGCUAAUACCGCAGACUGUGAGAUGGAACUGCGUUGUAUUAGCUAGUUGGGGAGGUAAAGGCCUACCAAGGCGACGAUCCGUAACUGGUCUGAGAGGAUGAUCAGGCAAACUGGAACUGAGACACGGGCCAUACGCCUACGGGAGGCAGCAGUGGGGAAUAUUGGAAAAUGGGCGAAAGCCUGAUCCAGCCAUGCCGAGUGUGUGAAGAAGUUCUUCGGAUUGUAAAGCACUUUAAGUUGGUAGGCGUUACCAACAGAAUAAGCACCGGCUAACUUCGUGCCAGCAGCCGCGGUAAUAC
rnacentral:rRNA from 1 species